rnacentral:rRNA from 1 species
GAUUUUUUCCUUCUCCUGGUUUCCUCUUCCCCUCCCUCGCUGAUCUCGGAAGCUAAGCAGGGUCGGGCCUGGUUAGUACUUGGAUGGGAGACCGCCUGGGAAUACCAGGUGCUGUAAGCU